AAGACUCUCGGCAACGGAUAUUUCGACUCCUGCAUUGAUGAAGAACGUAGCAAAAUGCGAUACUUGGUGUGAAUUGCAGAAUCCCGUGAGCCAUCGAAUCUUUGAAUGCAAGUUGCGCUUGAAGCCUCCUUUGGCUAAGGGCACGCCUGCUUGGGUGUCUUGC
rnacentral:rRNA from 1 species